AUUGGCGAUUCUAAUUAAAUUUAUGACGUGGCGAAAAGCAAUUGGCUAGUACACAAACAAAACCCCGCUGCAUUUCCGUGAAGUCAGAGAGAGCGACUCCGUAUACACCUGGAGACCUCUAACAUAGGUGUUAGAGUAAACUGACAAUUUGAUCACUUGCCAGUUCGCCCCCCCCGCCCCGUCUUCGACCUUAUCUCAGACGUAAUCGACGACUGCUGGCCCGACCUUCUGCCCGACCACUUUUGCGAACUGACCUACUUUGCAGACCGACCUCAUGAACUCUAAGCUGUAACUAACCAAGUAUCUCUGACCUCCGUCUUUCACCACCUUGACGGCCGUGCAGUGAUGACACUGUCAAGGAAAACAGAAGAAGAGAAACUAGCUAACUAUCAAGAGACUAGAUAGCAAGCCAGAGCCUUUCAGAUGCUGCUGGUCCAAGAGAGACAUUUCACAAAAGGUCAGUCCAUAUAUGCAGGUCAUCCUGGUUUCACAAGCAGAACUUAUCAAAAGUCUUGAGAUCAUCAUCAGACUUUGUCAUUUGCACAGAGAACUACUACAGCUAAAGCCAUCCUCAGG